rnacentral:pre_miRNA from 1 species
GUUUGAUUCCCGUGCUACGUUCAAUAGUUGGUCUAUGUGUUUAACUAUAGACCAACUAUUGAACGUAGCACGGGAAUCGUGU